UACAGGGGGAGCAAGCGUUGUUCGGAUUCAUUGGGCGUAAAGGGUGCGUAGGUGGCGCUGUAAGUCGGGUGUGAAAUUUCGGAGCUUAACUCCGAAACUGCAUUCGAUACUGCGGUGCUUGAGGACUGGAGAGGAGACUGGAAUUCAUGGUGUAGCAGUGAAAUGCGUAGAGAUCAUGAGGAAGACCAGUGGCGAAGGCGGCCUGCUGGCUGCACCUGACGCUGAGCCGCGAAAGCCAGGGGGAGCGAACGGG
rnacentral:rRNA from 1 species